GGGGAAAAUGCGUACCUGCACCAUCGCUUGGAAAACCUUACCCAAGCAUUGCACGACCUGAGAAAACUCCUGGAUCACUCAAAAGAUCAUGAAUUUUCUGAAGCCAGGGUAGAACAUGACAGUGACCAGUUACAUGCCUGGAAUGAAUGGAUUCAUAAUGGUAUCAGUGUUGAAACACACCGCAUGUUGGAACAAGCACUUUGUUUGCCUGAUGUUCAUGACUCUGCCACAUCAUCUUUUCAAGCCAGUUUUCUUUUGUCUUGUACUAUUAUAAGCAAUUUCAUUUUCUUCUAGUUACAGUAUGUACCCUGAACGUAAGGUUUUGGCCCAUUAUGACUGUUUAUGACUGUAGACUGUAGACUUAUUUUUUCAUGUUAUUAAGAUAUUUUUUCUUUGGAAUUAUUACAUAAGGUUCUCUUUAUGUAGCUAGCCCUUGUAGCUCCUACGAUCCAGCAGUGAUUUUGUAGAAGAGCUUAUUGUAAAUCAGCAGUCAGCAGUGCUCUUCACCAUACCAUCUUGUAAACAAUGCCACUACUCAGAAAAUUUCAUGACUAAGAUGCAUUAUAGUAAGUAUUAUAAUCUAGAACUGUAGGUAGGUGACAAAUAAAAGGUAAGAAAAUACAAAUGAGGUGUUGGACAGUCAAUUAGCCACAACAGCUUCAAUGUACCAUGGUAUAAAUUUGACAGGUCUCUAAAACUGUAAGGUUUUACAAAACUUUAUGUUACUUGAAGAUUUUACCUAAGUUGGUGUUAGUUUAUAGUGGUGGUUAUAAUCUUCCAGCAAAUAAAUUUGAGCCUUAACAAUUGGA